rnacentral:misc_RNA from 1 species
AACGCACGAGACCUGCGGACCUGCGGAGGGAUCAUUACCGAGUGUUACAGCUCCCAAACCCACUGUGAACGUACCCAUCGUUGCUUCGGCGGGACCGCCCCGGCGCCUCCGCGCGCCGGGCACGGGCGCCCGCCGGGGGCCCGAAACUCUUGCCUCCUCGCGUGGAUUCUCUGAGUGGCACGAAAAGGGAAAAUGAAUCAAAACUUUCAACAACGGAUCUCUAGAUCGGAAGAGCACACG